UACGGAGGAUCCGAGCGUUAUCCGGAAUUAUCGGGUUUAAAGGGUGCGUAGGCGGGCUAUUAAGUCAGUGGUGAAAUCCUGCAGCUUAACUGCAGAACUUCCGUUGAUACUGAUAGUCUUGAGUUUGGUUAAGGUAGGCGGAAUGUGUAAUGUAGCGGUGAAAUGCUUAGAUAUUACACAGAACACCAAUUGCGUAGGCAGCUUACUGAGCCGACACUGACGCUGAGGCACGAAAGCGUGGGGAUCAAACAGGAUUAGAUA
rnacentral:rRNA from 1 species